AUUGAACGCUGGCGGCAGGCCUAACACAUGCAAGUCGAACGAGAGGCGGACGGGUGAGUAAGGUCUGGGCAACUGCCUGAUGGAGGGGGAUAACUACUGGAAACGGUAGCUAAUACCGCAUACAAUCAGAUGUGUCGAGAUGGGAUUAGCUAGUUGGUGGGGUAACGGCUGAACAAGGCGACGCUCCCUAGCUGGUCUAAGAGGAUGACCAGCCACACUGGAACUGAGACACGGUCCAGACUCCGAGGGAAGGCAGCAGUGGGGAAUAUGGCACAAUGGGCGAAAGCCUGAGGCAGCCAUGCCGCGUGUAUUAAGAAGGUCUUCGGGUUGUAAAGUACUUUAAGGUGGGAGGCGUUACCCGCAGAAUAAGCACCGGCUAACUCCGUGCCAGCAGCCGCGGUAAUAC
rnacentral:rRNA from 1 species